rnacentral:rRNA from 1 species
UAGGCCUAACACAUGCAAGUCGAACGAGAUUAUAGGGUAAGCUUGCUUACCUUAUAUGACAGUGGCGCACGGGUGCGUAACGCGUAUGCAAUCUACCUUAAUCAGGGGGAUAGCCUCUCGAAAGAGAGAUUAAUACCGCAUAACAUUAUGAUAUGGCAUCAUAUUAUAAUCAAACAUUUAUGGGAUUAAGAUGAGCAUGCGUGACAUUAGCUAGUUGGUGAGGUAACGGCUCACCAAGGCAACGAUGUCUAGGGGAUCUGAGAGGAUGACCCCCCACACUGGUACUGAGACACGGACCAGACUCCUACGGGAGGCAGCAGUAAGGAAUAUUGGUCAACGGACGCAAGUCUGAACCAGCCAUGCCGCGUGCAGGAAGACGGCCCUAUGGGUUGUAAACUGCUUUUAUACGGGAAUAAACCUUCUUUCGUGAAAGAAGCUGA